rnacentral:piRNA from 1 species
UACCAGAGGCUUGGCGUUCACGGG